rnacentral:piRNA from 1 species
UGGUAAGAAUGUCACUACAGCCUGUGAGG